rnacentral:rRNA from 1 species
CAUAGCCGCGGUAAGACAGAGGAUGCAAGCGUUAUCCGGAAUGAUUGGGCGUAAAGGGCUCGCAGGCGGUUUCUUAAGUCUGAUGUGAAAGCCCCCGGCUCAACCGGGGAGGGUCAUUGGGAACUGGGAAACUUGAGUGCAGAAGAGGAGAGUGGAAUUCCACGUGUAGCGGUGAAAUGCGUAGAGAUGUGGUGGAACACCAGUGGCGAAGGCGACUCUCUGGUCUGUAACUGACGCUGAGGAGCGAAAGCGUGGGGAGCGAACAGGAUUAGAUACCCCCGUAGUCCCUGUCUCUUAUACC